CGUCAGCUCGUGUCGUGAGAUGUUGGGUUAAGUCCCGCAACGAGCGCAACCCUCGUCUUUAGUUGCCAUCAUUUAGUUGGGAACUCUAAAGAAACCGCCGGUGAUAAGCCGGAGGAAGGUGGGGAUGACGUCAAGUCCUCAUGGCCCUUACGCGCUGGGCUACACACGUGCUACAAUGGCGACUACAGUGGGCAGCAACCCUGCGAAGGGAAGCUAAUCUCCAAAAGCCGUCUCAGUUCGGAUCGCUCUCUGCAACUCGAGAGCGUGAAGGUGGAAUCGCUAGUAAUCGCGGAUCAGCAUGCCGCGGUGAAUACGUUCCCAGGCCUUGUACACACCGCCCGUCACACCAUGGGAGUUGGAUUCACUCGAAGGCGUUGAGCUAACCCGCAAGGGAGGCAGGCGACCACAGUGGGUUUGGCGACCGGGGUGAAGUCGUAACAAGGUAGCCGUAGGGGAACCUGCGGCUGGAUCACCUCCU
rnacentral:rRNA from 2 species